UACGUAGGGUGCAAGCGUUAAUCGGAAUUACUGGGCGUAAAGCGUGCGCAGGCGGUUUUGUAAGUUUGUCGUGAAAGCCCCGGGCUCAACCUGGGAAUUGCGAUGAAGACUGCAAGGCUUGAAUCUGGCAGAGGGGGGGUAGAAUUCCACGUGUAGCAGUGAAAUGACGUAGAGAUGUGGAGGAACACCGAUGGCGAAGGCAGCCCCCUGGGUCAAGAUUGACGCUCAUGCACGAAAGCGUGGGGAGCAAACAGG
rnacentral:rRNA from 1 species